GUCACCUGUCAGUCAGUUCAGAUGACACCAUCCAUGGGUCUUCCUCCAUUAUCAGGACACCAUCUAUUUAUCUUGGGUCGAGCGAUGGUAACGAAGAAGGGCCAACAGAACCAGUUCAGCCCAAGAUCCAUUCUACAGGAUUUUGAUUUAUUACACGAGACAUUGUAAAGAGUUUUACUUACACAUUUGAAACAUGAACACACACAUACUAAGGGUGUGGCAUUCCUGCCAUUUCAUACAUCCUGUGUAGCUCUUUACUAGAAUCCCAGCAUGCCUUUCUCCUGGGAGAAACCUGCAAAUAUUGUAUUGUCUGCAACUGAGAAGAGAGACAGGACAGACGAACCUUCAGCUCAUGCACCGAGUUGGAAUAAAAAGCAUUCAAAUGAAAGUCCAGAUAUGUGAGGUGUUUUUUUUUUUAUUAGGUAAAGCUAAAGUUGGAACAAGGGAACUGAGGUGACAGUUUAAAAAAAAAA